AUUGAACGCUGGCGGCAUGCUUUACACAUGCAAGUCGAACGGUAACAGGGAGCUUGCUCCGCUGACGAGUGGCGAACGGGUGAGUAAUGCGUCGGAACGUGCCGAGUAGUGGGGGAUAACGCAUCGAAAGGUGUGCUAAUACCGCAUACGAACUGAGGUUGAAAGUGGGGGACCUUCGGGCCUCACGCUAUUCGAGCGGCCGACGUCUGAUUAGCUAGUUGGUGAGGUAAAGGCUCACCAAGGCGACGAUCAGUAGCGGGUCUGAGAGGAUGAUCCGCCACACUGGGACUGAGACACGGCCCAGACUCCUACGGGAGGCAGCAGUGGGGAAUUUUGGACAAUGGGCGCAAGCCUGAUCCAGCCAUGCCGCGUGUCUGAAGAAGGCCUUCGGGUUGUAAAGGACUUUUGUCCAGGAGCAAAUACCCAGUGCUAAUAACGCCGGGGGCUGAGAGUACCGGAAGAAUAAGCACCGGCUAACUACGUGCCAGCCGCCGCGGUAAUAC
rnacentral:rRNA from 1 species